AUGGCCACCAGGCUCCUCUGCUGUGUGGCCCUUUGUCUUCUGGGAAGAAAGUUUACAGAUGCUGGAGUCAUCCAGACACCCAGGCACAAGGUGACAAAGACGGGACAAGAAGUAACCCUGAGAUGCAAGCCUAUUCUGGUCACGCAGCCCUUUACUGGUAUAGAGGGACCUCGGGGCAGGGACCAGAGCUGCUGAUCUACUUCAACAAUCAAGCCCCUAUAGAUGACUCGGGGAUGCCCAAGAAACGGUUCUCAGCAGAGAUGCCUGACAAAUCAUUCUCCACGCUGACGAUCAAGCCCACAGAACCCAAGGACUCAGCCACGUACCUGUGUGCCAGCAGCGUAGAGACAGUGCUGCUGAGUCACCCCCUCCUGGUGCAGAAACCCUCAAGCUUCCCCUUCUGCCUCCAGCCCCCAGCUGUCCUCUGCAGUCUUUCGAAGCUUCUCCGCUGUCAGCACAGGGACGUGGGUCUGGUGUUCUUCAUGUCUCUGGGGAAGGCAAGAACAGAUACUUCUCAGUAUCACAGUAGAAAACUUUUGGUAGGAAGACAAUAG